GGACUGAGUUAUGGGCUUACGGCCGAUGUGCGUACAUACAUCUCCCAUCGAGCCCAUGUCCAUGAUGUUUUUGUGUUGGGAGUGACUAAUGAACAGGCGACUGAUUUUAAAUUGGUGUCAGGUCGUUUUUUAUUCCACUCAAUGAUUGACACCUGUCUAAGUAUAUACUCUGUCUAGAAACUCAUUAGUACAGAAAAACGUCUGUUUCCUUUCCUGCUUCAGGUCGAAAAUCUGCCGAAGCCUCUUGGGCUCCUUUUAGUUUACGUAAAAGGAACCUGCCCCUGAAACGGGCCUCCUAGCAGACCCGUUAAUGCAAAAACGUGAAGGUUGACUAACAGAAGGAACCCACACUGUCCACCCCCACCACCCCUCUCUCUCACCCGUCUAGGGGGCUGCGUUGGGUAACAACACACUGCCCUCCCUUCCCUAAAAUUUUCAUUUAUAUAUACAUGCUGCAUUUAUGUGAUGAUCACCUUACUUGUGAAUCAUCUAUACAUAAAGAAAAUGUACUAUAGUUAGAUAAGGCUUGUGUCCCUGUUGUUCUACUUGGCAGAGAAGAACUCAAUAAAAACAUGAUCACCUUCCUGCAUAAAAAACUGAUAAUCGAUUAAUCACUGAAUAUACAAACACUUAACAUAGAGUGAAGAAACUAACACUAAAACUGUGCAAUCAUGAGGAAAAUGAAAACUAGAACUAAUAUACUGAUAAACACUAGUGUGGGAACUUGCUGAGUUAAUCAUGAACAAACUAAACAAAGAGGCAAAAACUGGACACUCGGGAUAAAACUGAGGACAUAUAUACUGAAACCUGAGGAAAUAUAUGGAAGAAAACUGAGGACAAAUACUGAAACCUGGAUAAGACCUUAAAUGACACUGAACCUAAAAUACAGAAAUCUAAAACUGAAAUAACUAAGGAUCAAGAACUAUAUAUACUGAAAUAACAACAAGCAACACCACACUGAAAUUGUACUCAAGAAUGCACACUGAAUCUGAAACAGAUGAAUAAUAGAACGAAAAAAUAAUACUGACGAACACACACUGAAUAUGACUUGAAGAACUUGAUUACUGAAUCCGAAGCAGAAAACUGAUGGAAAAUAGAGGACUAAUAGAAAGAAUACCAAGAAGACUGAGAAGAAUACCAAUAGGACUAAGGAAUAAAGAUAACUAAUGACUGAUAACUAAGAAAGAAGAAGCAUAGACUUAAGAGUGACAGAAUGUAAGACAAGGUGAAACACAUAACUAAAAGACAAAAUAACACUGAAUAUGACUAAAGAUAAACUAAAGAACUAAGACUGGAUAAGACAGAAGAUCAUAGAACAAGACUAAAAUAAUUAUGACUGAAAUACAAAUUGACUCAAUGUGACAUAUGACUAAAAAGAGAUUAAUGAUAGAAUUGGAUUUUAUACUUCUUCGUCACAUAUUUGUUCUUGAGUUUCUAUACUGUAUCUGAAAAAGAGACUGGAUUUUACAGGUAAACAGCUACGUGAAUGAGGAUAUGCAUGAUAUGUGCAUUGGAAGCCAAGAAGCUCUGUUCAUGCAGGUCGAUGGAGGAAGGAAAAAAAUUCUUCGUAUUUUUUACGCCUUACAACUAUUCAUUCAGUUUCAGAGGUGGCAGAAAAAGAAAAAAUUACAGACGACUGAAUAUGAAAUUUGACGCUGCCAAGGGAUAUUUUAAGCUAACAAUCAUCAGGGGGAGAAAAUAUUUUGCAUUCCAAGGACAAGUCUGCUGUUCCUGCAAACUCAUCGAUGCACAGGACAAAAAGACGAGCAAGUUAUUCGUUCAGGUUCAGAUAACCAAACAGACUUGCAUCCUGAAUUACAAGAUUUUUUUUCAAAAAAGACAUGUGUAUAAGAAAGAAAACAUCGAUCCAAAAGCACAUGUAUGAGCACAGAUAACUAGACUUCCCAUUUCUCACUUAUGCAGAUUAAAAGAGGGUAACUAGAACAAAUUCCAUUGUGUACACUAGUUUCAGAACAAUCUACUGCCUGGUUAGUUGGUGCAUAACACUACAUUCAGAUGAUCCCCAAGCCAUUCUCUACGUAAUCACUCAACUCUCUGAAAACAGAUCGCAUCCAUUACUAACUAAAAGCCAUCAAAAUCAUGCUGACAACAAAAGUGGCACCCUACAAUUUCUCCACAUUAGUACUCCUGCAGAAGAAAAAAACGCAUACAUUCAGUUACCUAUCUCUGACCAUCUACAAACAUUCCUUGGGCUUCUAAAAUAUCUUACAGGGUAACACACUAUAUGUGAAAAAUUCAAUCAGACUGAAAAUGAGGUCUACAUCCAGAACAAAAGAGUACUACAUUAAGACAAAGUUGAGGCCUACUUAGUGAACGAAAAUUGGGGGACACACACAUACAGGUGCCUGCAGCAAAUUCAGGGGCGUUCUAUGAUGAACCACUCAAAAAACUCCUCCAGGAUUGAAGAGAUUCAUGGGCAUUUCUGUUCUACCGCACACCUUCCUGGCCGAAACUACAAACAACUAAACCACCCCCUGCUAUGGAGGUCUGUGACCGGUGACAAACACGACGAACUGAAAUUCAGAGGGCAUAGACAUAUAGAACAGAAAAAGGGCAGCGGGAAGGAGCGUGAUACCUUGCGCCCCGAUGGCGCCGACGACUGCCGUCGCACCCACCGACUGAAGCUUGCUGGUGGCGGACAUGGCGGCGCAGCUCCGCCGAGCUCCUCUCCAAACCGACAUCUGACCUGCGUGCAGCCGGCACUGUGGAGCAUGCCUCCUGCUUACAAGCUCUCCUCGAGGAGGACUCGGCGCACGCCAUCUCUGUUGCUAAACACCGGCGAGGACGCCCCCGCCUCCCCUCCGCCGUCUCCG
rnacentral:lncRNA from 1 species